AUGGUUCGAGACCUUGCUAAUGUGGUUGUUCCGGCAACAUCGAUGCCGGAGGAGGAUGGUGCGGACAAAGGCGGAGCGGACAAGGUGAGCAAAGGUCAGCGUAAGAGGGAGAAGAUUUACUGUUUUCGCUGUGGAGAGCCCGGUCACUAUGCGGUUGGAUGUACAACGGAGCUGUGUGAUAUUUGCUUGAGACCGAAACAUGAGGCCGAAUGCCCUCUUCUUUCAGAUCCUAAGCCGGUGGUGAACUUUUAUGGAGUGUGCGAUGAAAAAAUUAUGUUCUUUGAGGCACCCAUGAUGAGGUCUUGCAGACCUAGGCUUGAGAAUGCCAGAACUGGUGUGAUUCGUGUGACUAAGGGCACUUUGUCUGAGGACCAAAUUAUUUUGCAGCUUAAGAGACUGGUUUCCUCGUCUUUUCAGUGGGCGCUCGUUCGGAUUGAUGAGAAGACAUUUAAGGUUGACUACCCAACAAGUAUGAUCUUGAUAAGAUUAAUGAGUUUGGCAUGUGUAAGGUACCGGGCAGUUCUUGUAUUCUUGAAUUCGAUGAGUGGAAGCGAAACGAUCCGGUGGGAACUCCGCUUACUCAGCUUUGGGUCAGGUUCUUUGGGCUUCCACCGGAGCCACUCAACGAUUUCCUAG
rnacentral:rRNA from 1 species